rnacentral:rRNA from 1 species
AGUGAACGCUGGCGGUAGGCCUAACACAUGCAAGUCGAACGGCAGCACAGUAAGAGCUUGCUCUUACGGGUGGCGAGUGGCGGACGGGUGAGGAAUACAUCGGAAUCUACUUUUUCGUGGGGGAUAACGUAGGGAAACUUACGCUAAUACCGCAUACGACCUACGGGUGAAAGCAGGGGAUCUUCGGACCUUGCGCGAUUGAAUGAGCCGAUGUCGGAUUAGCUAGUUGGCGGGGUAAAGGCCACCAAGGCGACGAUCCGUAGCUGGUCUGAGAGGAUGAUCAGCCACACUGGAACUGAGACACGGUCCAGACUCCUACGGGAGGCAGCAGUGGGGAAUAUUGGACAAUGGGCGCAAGCCUGAUCCAGCCAUACCGCGUGGGUGAAGAAGGCCUUCGGGUUGUAAAGCCCUUUUGUUGGGAAAGAAAAGCAGCAGGUUAAUACCCCGCUGUUCUGACGGUACCCGAAGAAUAAGCACCGGCUAACUUCGUG